rnacentral:snRNA from 1 species
UAAAAUUGGAACGAUACAGAGAAGAUGAGCAUGACCCCUGUGCAAGGACGACAUGCAAAUUCGCGAAGCAUUCCAUGUUUUU